rnacentral:rRNA from 1 species
ACUCCUACGGGAGGCAGCAGUGGGGAAUAUUGCACAAUGGGGAAACCCUGAUGCAGCCAUGCCGCGUGUGUGAAGAAGGCCUUCGGUUGUAAAGCACUUUCAGUAGGGAGGAAGGUAGUGUAGUUAAUACCUGCAUUAUUUGACGUUACCUACAGAAGAAGCACCGGCUAACUCCGUGCCAGCAGCCGCGGUAAUACGGAGGGGUGCGAGCGUUAAUCGGAAUUACUGGGCGUAAAGCGCAUGCAGGCGGCCUGUUAAGUCAGAUGUGAAAGCCCGGGGGCUUAACCUCGGAAUUGCAUUUGAAACUAGGCAGGCUAGAGUCUUGUAGAGGGGGUAGGAAUUUCAGGUGUAGCGGUGAAAUGCGUAGAGAUCUGAAGGAAUACCAGUGGCGAAGGCGGCCCCUGGACAAGACUGACGCUCAGAUGCGAAAGCGUGGGAGGCAAACAGGAUUAGAUACCCUGGUAGGAUAGCG